rnacentral:lncRNA from 1 species
UCGCCCCAUACCUUCCCUCUCCUCCAACCCCUCUGCCCGCUUCCAACUCGCCCAAACUCGCCGGAAUCGGGCGAGUUCGCCCUCAACAAAUCCCAUGGUCCCCCUCUCUCUUCUCCUUCUUCCACGUCAUUCAUUCCGUACUAAAUCUCAUCAUUUCAAUCCGAUUCACACGGAUUUCUUCUUUUAUUUCUUUUGUUUAAACACAAAUCCGAGGCCCUUGAAUAAAUUUGGGAGAAAUGGAAACCAUUGGAUAAAGAUUUUUGUCCAAAGUCUCCAUUUUUCCAAUUUUUGUUUGUGAAAGGGGGAUUUUCGGAUUUGAUUUUGGGGUCCCACACGAUUUCUUGCUGAGGAAGAAGAAGCUUCGAGAGAGGGUAUAUUUGGAGCCUUUAGACAGAGAAGAAAAGGUGAAAAAGUUCUAGGGUUUUGAUACUGGAUUUCGACAUUUCUCUUCUGAUUUUCGAUUUUUCAUACAAAAAAAGAAUUGAAUUCUUCUUGGUUUGAAUUUGACUCCCACUUCGAAAAAUACAAAAAAAAUGAUCUUUUUCAGUUCUGUUUUGAUUCUCUUUCAUGGAGUUCAACUGAGGCAUUGUGGAGCUUUGAGGUUUUGUUAGCCGUUCGAGUUGGCUCGCGAUUCCGUUCGAGUUAAAUUUGUUCGUGUAAUUGUUGGAAUAUCUUUAUUAAUCGAAAACCAGCC